rnacentral:rRNA from 1 species
UACGUAGGGGGCAAGCGUUGUCCGGAAUCAUUGGGCGUAAAGCGCGUGUAGGCGGUCCGGUAAGUCCGCUGUGAAAGUCCAGGGCUCAACCCUGGGAUGCCGGUGGAUACUGUCGGGCUAGAGUACGGAAGAGGCGAGUGGAAUUCCCGGUGUAGCGGUGAAAUGCGCAGACAUCGGGAGGAACACCAAUUGCGAAGGCAGCUCGCUGGGACGUUACUGACGCUGAGACGCGAAAGCGUGGGGAGCAAACAGG